UACGUAGGGUGCAAGCGUUAAUCGGAAUUACUGGGCGUAAAGCGUGCGCAGGCGGUUUUGUAAGUCAGAUGUGAAAUCCCCGGGCUUAACCUGGGAACUGCGUUUGAAACUACAAGGCUAGAGUGUGACAGAGGGGGGUGGAAUUCCACGUGUAGCAGUGAAAUGCGUAGAGAUCCGGAGGAACACCAGUGGCGAAGGCGACACACUGGGUCGCACCUGACGCUAAGACGCGACAGCAUGGGGAGCGAACGGG
rnacentral:rRNA from 1 species